CUGCGUACGUGGCCGCGUGCCUCAUACACAGCAGCGUGCCUCAUACUCGGCGGCAUGCGUAGGCUGGCAUCGGCUUGGGCCAGAUGGGAUCCGGGUGCUGAGGGGAAGCAGACACAAGCGCUCUAAUCCAGAAGCCGUCUCCAAUAGAUAACCUCUUCCAAAGGAAAAGCUUGUUUUCCCCUACAGAGUCUUACUGGAUACACAAACUACACUUAACGGUGGUUGUGCCCAGCAGUGCAGCCACCAUGAACUCAACAAAACUCCUCCUCCGCGCUAUGCCACGGUGUCCUGCCUCACCAUAGACCCCCAAGAAUAGAGCCAAGAGAAAUUAAUCCAUGGGCCAAAUUUGCCAUCUUUUUCCCUGAAUUUGAUUAUGGUAUCCUGUCAUGGACAGAAGGCUGAUUAAGCUGGGUUGCGAUCUCGCUCUUGCAGAGAACCCAGGUUCAGUUUCCAUGGACGCCUGUAACUUCAGUUCCUGGGGAUCUGAUGCCCCCUUCUGGUCUUCUUUGGUAUUGCAUGCACAUGGUGCACAUACAUACGAGGAGACAAGUAUUCAUACAAAUAAAUACUAAAAUAAAAUAAGAAGUUAUAACGCAGAGGCUCUUCUUUGGUUUGCUCUAGGGUAUCACCUUUUCUCUAGAACAGUGAUUCUCAACCCCCCUAAUGCUGCAAUACAGCUCCUCAUGUUGUGGUGACUCCCAAUAACAUUAUUUUGUCACUGCUUCAUAACUGUAAUUUUGCUACUGUUAUGAAUCGUAAUGUAACAUCCAACAUACACAGAAUAUAUAAUAUGUAACCCUUGUGGGCUCAUGACCCACAGGUUGAGAACCACUGCUCUAGAGGGAAUCCCAGGAAUUCCUAGGAAUAUUACAGGGACAUCUGUGCACACACUGGCGCCCACACGCAGAAGUAUACACUUCAUCCAAAGAGCAGCACAUUACCCUGCCGUACACGCCUUGACCUCCCACUAUCCCACAUACUCUCAUGUCUGCGUGCAGCACAGACUUUCUUCUUAACACAGUAUUAACCUCACGUGACCCAUUUAUCAUUCGUCGUCCAGGCUCUCAUUUAGUGACGGGUACUUGGGUUGCUUCUCGGUUUCCUUCUGACUCAAACAAUAUGGCAAUUAACAUUAUAACACCACUACAGUUUGUGUCUAGAAGCACAUCUACAGGGUUGAACCCUACCAAAGAGAUGACUGCCAAGAGGCUGUCUCUCUCUCUCUCUCUCUCUCUCUCUCUCUCUCUCUCUCUUUCUUUCUUUCAAAGAUUUAUUUAUUUUUUUGUGAGUACACUGUCACUGUCUUCAGACACACCAGAAGAGGGCAUCAGCUCCUAUUCCAGAUGGUUGUGAGCCACCAUGUGGUUGCUGAGAAUUGAACUUAGGACCUCUGGAAGGGCAGUCGGUGCUCUUGACCACUAAGUCAACUCUCCAGCCCUUGUGUAUCUUUUUCUUUGUGUACAUUGAGCUGAAUUGCCCAAUUCAUAUUCUCAUCAGAAAAUGAAUGCUCCCACCAGCAAAGAAUCUGUCCCCAGCAUUCUAGUUUGCUUCCUGUAACUGUGAUAGACACCAAGACUGAAAGGAACUUGGGGAGGAUGGGUUUAUUUGCCUUACAGGUUACAGUCCAUCAGUGAAGGAAUCCAGGACAGGAACUGGAGCAGAGAUCAUGAAAGAAAUGCUACUUAUUGCCUUGACUCCAGCCUCUUGUCUCUAGUUACCUGCCUAGGAAUGGCACUGCCCAUAGUGGGCCCUCCUGUAUCAAUUAACAAUAAAGAAAAUGCCCUAAAGAGGCAAUUCUUUAACUGGGGUUCCUUCUUCCCAGGGGUGACAAAUUGACCACCAAGAUUAACCAUCACCCCCAGCUUCUGGAUACACAGAGCAUGAUAAUUUAUCUCUUCUACCAUCUGGUAGGAAAGAGCUUGGAGACCUUGACUCACUCAGAAGUUAGAUGAGUAUUGCCCGCAUUCAAUCCCGGAAGGCCUCCCGCCUUGUGUCCUUGGCACAGCUGAGACCAGCACAGUGUUUUCCUGUUUAUCCCUCAGCUCUCCUGGAAGCGCAGCUGUGAGCAUGAUUUCUCUGGUUCCCUUUAUAACAGCGUCCUCCAAAACUGGAUGAAAUAACUCACAGCUGGGAUGGUAAGUCUGGGCCAUUCAAGGACAGGACUGCAGUGGUGAGCUGCUGCAGGGUCCCGCUGCACCCCGAGAAGUAGGGUGAAGGCAUGACUGCAUUUUCAGGGCACAUUACAGUCGCGCCUUCUGAUCGUUCUGCAUCUGACACUCAUCAAGUCUCUCCCAGUAAUCCGAGUAACAACCUCAUGUAAGGGGAAGUCAUCCAGUGAUUUAAAAAAAAAAACCCUACUAGGGUGCUUUGAUGUUAGUUUCUUCUCCCUGACUUGACUUGUCACAUUACCUUUUCCCUUCUAGCAGAUUUAUUUCCCAAGUACCAACUCAAUCAGCCAGUACAAACAGUUCCCAACCUACAAUGGUUCAACUUCAUGAGUUGGCAACUUCAUCAGGAUACAAGGAAAUAUUCUUCAGUAGAAACCAGAGCGGCGAGUAGGCAACUGUGUUGCUAAGCAAAGUGACAAGCCCUGCCUGUUGGGAUGCUGACCCACUAGACAAGUCAACGUUAGGAGGAUCCAAGCUAAGUCAGGAGGAAGGCUUACAGGAUACUCUCUCUCCCGGGAUUCGUUUACUUGAUAGAAGACACAGAUAUCGACCAAGUAGAUAGAGCUUGGUUAGAGGGUGGUGGAGCUGGCGAGGCGGUAAAGCAGCAGCGGAUCGCGUGAGUUGAAGGGUCUGCACUCUAGGAUUAGCCGUGGUCUUCCUCUUAGUGCCUCUACUGACAGCAAGAGGGCUGUACUGCCCAUUCUUUCUAAUGGUCAGAAACUAUAAAGUCUCUCAGUCAUCCCUGCAAACAGCUCAACUCCCCGACAUUGUCCCAAGUAACCAAUACAUUUAAUUUGCAAAGAACCUUAGUGCCUGUGACAUCAUUGUCAGGUGGACUGCUCAGUCUGCAGACGGACGAGUGCCGUAGCUGGGAUGUGAACUGUCCCCCCAGGUUCUUGCUUUUGAACCUGCAGCCCCAGCUGGUGGUUCUGCUUUAGAACGAUGUGGAAACCUUAGGAGGCAGAGCCCCCUGGAGGAGGUGGGUCACUGAGGGUGGGCCUUGAGGUUUCAUACUCUGUGUCGCAAAGUCCUGUUCACCCAUUCCUUCCAGCACCGCCUACCACAGUGGUCCCAGAGACACAUACCUGUUGUCCAACCAGAAGGCUGGGGGCAGACAUGGUGACCAGACCAUGGUGUGGUCUCAGUGAUAGUACAAAAGUCACCAUGUCUUGCAAAGGGGUGGGGGUAUUUCUUAAGCAAACCAGUGUAUCGGUUUGGAACAGAAAGAUCUCCAAGGGUCCACUUAACUUAUUGAGAUCAUAACACUGAAUAAACCGGCGAAAGCUUCCUGAAACACUUUUAACUUGUGCAACCCUUCUCUAAGAGCCAAUGUUCUGAGAUUGCUGCCAGUUUUAACACUGGGUGAGCCUAAGCUUUCAGAAUUUACUGGUACUGAAGGAUUCUGCUACAAAUAACUCUUAAAGCCAUACUGUAUUAAAUGAAUUUCCCUUCUGAUGCUCUGGCCCGAAUGACCAAAGUGUCUCCUUUUAGACAGAGAGCUACAGUGUGGAGAAAUUUGCUGGAAAGCACUCACUAUUGGAUCUGAGAACUCGGCUCACAGCCAUUUCUAACAAAGGAAGUUUGCUGACUGCUUGGCACUCUCUUCUAUGGCAAGGGACACCUGGUGUUGAGAAAUGCUAGCUCAUGGCUCAGCCGACAGCGAGCCCUUGACGUAGUUAUAAUUUAUGUACCACCUGCCACCUUCAAGAUUUAGUGGCACAGAGAAGUGCUCACUUUUCUGCUGAGUCCUGGGAUGUUUGAGGGUCAUAGAAUGUUGUCCCCGGGCUGCAGAUCGAACGUAGGACCUUGGCAAUGCUGGCACAGUGUCCUGUUCCUGAGUCACCUACCCUGCCCUUAGAACCUGGAGACCCUGCUAAAAAAUAGGACGAUUCUCUUCAGAGAAAUGCAUGGCUCCAGCUCUCCAGGAAGGAGAGAUAUGGGGAAGGACUUUUAAAGAGGAAAACCACAUGAAGACCAUCAAUAUUUAUCUAUGGAAGCUGAUCAAAUGAUUAAGGCAACUCAAAACAAUCUUUAGGUGUCUUUAUAAAGUACCUCCAAAAAUCAUGAAAAAUGUACUCAGUCUUAUCAUAACAAGAGGAUAGUCAGGGUUGUACGUUGUUGGGUGAGGGUGCGGUUCACUGAGUCAGGGUUACUGGGAAUUUAUCUUCCCGGGACUGGAGUCAGAGGCAAAGAGCUGGUGUGUACCAAGAUGGAUGCCUAGCAUAAAAUGGAGCUUUAGAUAUAACAAAAGAGGGGAGGAAGGAAGGAAGGAAGGAAGGAAGGAAGGAAAGAAGGAAAGAAGGAAAGAAGGAAAGAAGGAAAGGAGAAGGAAGGAAGGAAGCAAGAAAGAGAAAAAGAAGACAACAGCAUCCAAACAAGCAAAUACAGGACACCCAAAGCCACUUCAUGUCUCUCCCUCCCGAUCAGACAUCGAUUGUUAAGACUAUGACGGCCCCUUACCACAGACAGCUGUGGACAGACCACGGACAACCAGACAGGCCACGGACAACUGUGGGCAGACCAUGGACAAUUGGACAGAUCACGGACAACUGUGGACAGAUCACGGACAACUGUGGACAGAUCAUGGACAACUGGACAGACCAUGGACAACUGUGGACAGGUCAUGGACAACUGGACAGAUCAUGGACAACUGGACAGAUCGUGGACAACUGGACAGACCAUGGACAACUGGACAGACCAUGGACAACUGGACAGACCAUGGACAACUGUGGACAGAUCAUGGACAACUGGACAGAUCAUGGACAACUGGACAGAUCAUGGACAACUGGAUAGAUCAUGGACAACUGGAUAGAUCAUGGACAACUGGACAGAUCAUGGACAACUGGACAGAUCAUGGACAACUGGAUAGAUCAUGGACAACUGGACAGAUCAUGGACAACUGGAUAGAUCAUGGACAACUGGACAGAUCAUGGACACCUGGACAGAUCAUGGACAACUGGGACAGACCACGAGCGACUGUGGACAGACCACAAACAACUGAGACAGAUCACAGACAACGGGGACAGACCACGGACAACUGAGACAGACCACAGACAACUAGGACAGACUGGCAGAACACAAGUUACUUGUCAUCAGAACACAUAUCUUGGCAGGUGCCUCUACAAAGCCACCUUCCCUGGGCUAUCUCUCCAAGAAGCACAUAAAUCCCUUUAAUAUUUAUAUAUUUAUUUUAAAGUUAUCUUCUUCACCUGCACAGCUAUUAAAAAGACACUUUCUAAGAACUACAAAA